UACGGAGGGUGCAAGCGUUGCUCGGAAUUAUUGGGCGUAAAGGGUAGGUAGGUGGUCUCAUUUGUCAGGGGUGAAAGCCUUGGGCUUAACCCAAGAAGUGCCCCUGAAACGGUGAGACUCGAGUGCUGGAGAGGGUCGUGGAAUUCCCGGUGUAGAGGUGAAAUUCGUAGAUAUUGGGAAGAACACCGGUGGCGAAGGCGGCUCACUGGCCCGGUACUGACGCUGAGGUGCGAAAGCGUGGGGAGCAAACAGG
rnacentral:rRNA from 1 species